rnacentral:piRNA from 1 species
UCAGACAUGUGUUAUCGUAUG